rnacentral:rRNA from 1 species
CGAGGCGAACCGGGGGAACUGAAACAUCUAAGUACCCCGAGGAAAAGAAAUCAACCGAGAUUCCCCCAGUAGCGGCGAGCGAACGGGGAGCAGCCCAGAGUCUGAAUCAGCUUGUGUGUUAGUGGAACGGUCUGGAAAGUCCGACGGUACAGGGUGAUAGUCCCGUACACCAAAAUGCACAGGUUGUGAACUCGAAGAGUAGGGCGGGACACGUGGUAUCCUGUCUGAAUAUGGGGGGACCAUCCUCCAAGGCUAAAUACUCCUGACUGACCGAUAGUGAACCAGUACCGUGAGGGAAAGGCGAAAAGAACCCCGGCGAGGGGAGUGAAAAAGAACCUGAAACCGUGUACGUACAAGCAGUGGGAGCACCUUCGGGUGUGACUGCGUACCUUUUGUAUAAUGGGUCAGCGACUUAUAUUCUGUAGCAAGGUUAACCGUAUAGGGGAGCCGCAGGGAAACCGAGUCUUAACUGGGCGUUAAGUUGCAGGGUAUAGACCCGAAACCCGGUGAUCUAGCCAUGGGCAGGUUGAAGGUUGGGUAACACUAACUGGAGGACCGAACCGACUAAUGUUGAAAAAUUAGCGGAUGACUUGUGGCUGGGGGUGAAAGGCCAAUCAAACCGGGAGAUAGCUGGUUCUCCCCGAAAGCUAUUUAGGUAGCGCCUCGUGAACUCAUCUUCGGGGGUAGAGCACUGUUUCGGCUAGGGGGUCAUCCCGACUUACCAACCCGAUGCAAACUACGAAUACCGAAGAAUGUUAUCACGGGAGACACACGGCGGGUGCUAACGUCCGUCGUGAAGAGGGAAACAACCCAGACCGCCAGCUAAGGUCCCAAAGUCAUGGUUAAGUGGGAAACGAUGUGGGAAGGCACAGACAGCCAGGAUGUUGGCUUAGAAGCAGCCAUCAUUUAAAGAAAGCGUAAUAGCUCACUGGUCGAGUCGGCCUGCGCGGAAGAUGUAACGGGGCUAAACCAUGCACCGAAGCUGCGGCAGCGACACUAUGUGUUGUUGGGUAGGGGAGCGUUCUGUAAGCCUGCGAAGGUGUGCUGUGAGGCAUGCUGGAGGUAUCAGAAGUGCGAAUGCUGACAUAAGUAACGAUAAAGCGGGUGAAAAGCCCGCUCGCCGGAAGACCAAGGGUUCCUGUCCAACGUUAAUCGGGGCAGGGUGAGUCGACCCCUAAGGCGAGGCCGAAAGGCGUAGUCGAUGGGAAACAGGUUAAUAUUCCUGUACUUGGUGUUACUGCGAAGGGGGGACGGAGAAGGCUAUGUUAGCCGGGCGACGGUUGUCCCGGUUUAAGCAUGUAGGCUGGUUAUCCAGGCAAAUCCGGAUAAUCAAGGCUGAGGUGUGAUGACGAGGCACUACGGUGCUGAAGUAACAAAUGCCCUGCUUCCAGGAAAAGCCUCUAAGCAUCAGGUAACAUCAAAUCGUACCCCAAACCGACACAGGUGGUCAGGUAGAGAAUACCAAGGCGCUUGAGAGAACUCGGGUGAAGGAACUAGGCAAAAUGGUGCCGUAACUUCGGGAGAAGGCACGCUGGUGUGUAGGUGAAGUCCCUGCGGAUGGAGCUGAGACCAGUCGAAGAUACCAGCUGGCUGCAACUGUUUAUUAAAAACACAGCACUGUGCAAACACGAAAGUGGACGUAUACGGUGUGACGCCUGCCCGGUGCCGGAAGGUUAAUUGAUGGGGUUAUCCGUAAGGAGAAGCUCUUGAUCGAAGCCCCGGUAAACGGCGGCCGUAACUAUAACGGUCCUAAGGUAGCGAAAUUCCUUGUCGGGUAAGUUCCGACCUGCACGAAUGGCGUAAUGAUGGCCAGGCUGUCUCCACCCGAGACUCAGUGAAAUUGAACUCGCUGUGAAGAUGCAGUGUACCCGCGGCAAGACGGAAAGACCCCGUGAACCUUUACUAUAGCUUGACACUGAACAUUGAGCCUUGAUGUGUAGGAUAGGUGGGAGGCUUUGAAGCGUGGACGCCAGUCUGCGUGGAGCCAACCUUGAAAUACCACCCUUUAAUGUUUGAUGUUCUAACGUUGGCCCCUUACCGGGGUUGCGGACAGUGUCUGGUGGGUAGUUUGACUGGGGCGGUCUCCUCCCAAAGCGUAACGGAGGAGCACGAAGGUUAGCUAAUCCUGGUCGGACAUCAGGAGGUUAGUGCAAUGGCAUAAGCUAGCUUGACUGCGAGCGUGACGGCGCGAGCAGGUGCGAAAGCAGGUCAUAGUGAUCCGGUGGUUCUGAAUGGAAGGGCCAUCGCUCAACGGAUAAAAGGUACUCCGGGGAUAACAGGCUGAUACCGCCCAAGAGUUCAUAUCGACGGCGGUGUUUGGCACCUCGAUGUCGGCUCAUCACAUCCUGGGGCUGAAGUAGGUCCCAAGGGUAUGGCUGUUCGCCAUUUAAAGUGGUACGCGAGCUGGGUUUAGAACGUCGUGAGACAGUUCGGUCCCUAUCUGCCGUGGGCGCUGGAGAAUUGAGGGGGGCUGCUCCUAGUACGAGAGGACCGGAGUGGACGCAUCACUGGUGUUCGGGUUGUCAUGCCAAUGGCACUGCCCGGUAGCUAAAUGCGGAAGAGAUAAGUGCUGAAAGCAUCUAAGCACGAAACUUGCCCCGAGAUGAGUUCUCCCUGAGACUAUAAGUCUCCUGAAGGAACGUUAAAGACGAUGACGUUGAUAGGCCGGGUGUGUAAGCGCAGCGAUGCGUUGAGCUAACCGGUACUAAUGAACCGUGAGGCUUAACCUU